GGCCUGGUGGUCUAGUAGUAUGAUUCCUUCUUAGGGUUCGAAGAGCGAUUUUCGAGUGUAUUUGGAGGAGGUCCCGGGUUCAAUUCCCGGCCAGGCCC